UGUAAGGAUGGAAACAAACACUUCUGUUUCUGAACCAGAGUGGGUUCUCAGAGUCUUGGCUUUCUUUCUGCAGCCUGUCUGCCUCCUAAGCAGCUGAGAUUGUUUCCCCACUACAGAUGAGUGAUAAGCUGACUGCACCCUCACGGAUAAUUCUAUCAACUCCUGGGACCAUCGCAUAGAGGGUGCUUGAGACAUGCUGCACUGGACGAUGCACACACCCCAUCUCUCCAACAUGACUAGGCCACCAGGAUGCAUCACAGUCCUGACCCCAAUGCAGGAGACUGAAAGUCACCAAGGACUGAGACAUGCUGUCGAGCCACAAUCAGAAGAGAAACUGGAGUUGAAGAAGAGCCAGGUCUGGCCACACAGAGAAGUGAAAACCUCCAUUUAAUGGUCAGAGGCAAAGUACAAAGUUAGGCAUCAGAGAAGUGUUCCGUUUUGGUCACUAUUAUUUCUUAAGAAUCUUUCUGAACACUCCAGAACUAAAGGACUAGAAGUCCAGGGCCCUUGCUCUCAGUGUCUGAUUAGCUGCUGUCAUCUGCCUCGAAAGCUGCCCCAUGGUUUUUUCCAUCCUUGCUAGCAGCACAAACCAACUGGUUUAGCCUAACAUUGAUAAAACUACAGAAUCUCAGAUUUGGAAGGAUGCUUUUAAAGCAAAUAGCCAAGCUCCUAGCUAAUUUUCUAAUUUUGUUGCUACAAGAAUAAAGAAUUUAAUGUGGGUGUGGA
rnacentral:lncRNA from 1 species